UGGGGAAUAUUGCACAAUGGGCGCAAGCCUGAUGCAGCCAUGCCGCGUGUAUGAAGAAGGCCUUCGGGUUGUAAAGUACUUUCAGCGGGGAGGAAGGGAGUAAAGUUAAUACCUUUGCUCAUUGACGUUACCCGCAGAAGAAGCACCGGCUAACUCCGUGCCAGCAGCCGCGGUAAUACGGAGGGUGCAAGCGUUAAUCGGAAUUACUGGGCGUAACGCGCACGCAGGCGGUUUGUUAAGUCAGAUGUGAAAUCCCCGGGCUCAACCUGGGAACUGCAUCGGAUACUGGCAAGCUUGAGUCUCGUAGAGGGGGGUAGAAUUCCAGGUGUAGCGGUGAAAUGCGUAGAGAGCUGGAGGAAUACCGGUGGCGAAGGCGGCCCCCUGGACGAAGACUGACGCUCAGGUGCGAAAGCGUGGGGAGCAAACAGG
rnacentral:rRNA from 1 species